UGUGGGAGCUGGCUUGCCUGCGAUGGCGGUGGGUCAGCCGGCAUUUCUGCUACUGAUACACCGUCAUCGCAGGCAAGCCAGCUCCCCCA
rnacentral:antisense_RNA from 1 species